ACCAUGUUGGCCAGGCUGGUCUCGCCUCCUGACCUCAAGUGAUCCACCCAUCUUGGCCUCCCAAAGCGCUGGGAUUACAGGCGUGAGCCACUGCGCCCAGCCCUCUUUUGUAUUUUGGAGUCAGGCUAGUACAAAAAUGUGGACAACAACUGCCUGGUAAAGGGAGGGAAAAGAAACAUUGUCCCUGGCCACAUUAAUUGUAUGUAUGUUAUCCAGGGAGUUAUUACAAGCUCCUGGAAACGUGGAAAAACAGCUCUAUGAAAGAAUACCAAAUAAAACCAGAGGUUCAAGUGCCCUUAAAAGGGGAAGUUGACUGUCUCUUACCAAGUAACCCUCAUCAUAGAUACACUCAGAGUGAAAACUCAGAAAUGAGCUAGACGGGAUGAACAAAGUUCAUCAAAGAUUCUGUGCUCCUGCCCUGGCGUGGCCUGAGGACACCAGGCCGGGGGUAUUCUCUGAGUUUCUUCUAGCCCUAGAGUUCUGGGUGUCGGGGCCUUUUCUAUACAGUGAAUGGGCAUGGGGGUGGGGGAACCUGUAAGGGACUUUGCUAUCUUCAACCAGGCAUCUCUACUUUUUAAUUUUCUGUGUUCAAACUCCAAGAAAAAUUUUGUUUGGAUAAAAGAAUUCUCUUGCUAUCAAAUAAAGUUGGAAAACAAUUAAUAUGAUCUGUCCAGUCACUAAACAGACUCCUCUUUGUUGACAUCUCUGCUUAGGUACUCACAUGUCUAUGUAGACACACCCCUCGUUGACUGCUGCAGAAAAGGCAGGUGGCCGUUCAUAUCCACGUGUUGCUCUUUUGUGGGCAGAAGACACCAUGUUAACUUCAGUAACCGUUCUAGAGCCUUAGUGACCUUGACUCUUAGGAAGUUUCUUAUACUUAUCUAUACACUCCUGGUGACCUAAACUGAUGUGAUACAUUAGAGGGCAGAUUUAUAAGACAGUCAUCUAGAACCGUCCAUCCAACUCCCUUUAUUUUUUCAGGGAGCUAAGUCCUUGACUUAUGGGGUGUUUCUGGAUGGGAAGGCAGCUAUGUUCUUUACUUCUUUCUCCCCCAGGGCUACCCUGUUUCUAUGUCUGUGUCUGUCUGAUGUUCUUCUCUGAACACUUUCCAAAACCUCCAUUACUCUCUGAAGUUUGCAGCCAGCAAUUAGACCUGGGUUCUCAGGAGGCGUCUUACUGCUGCUGGGUUGCAGGGUUACCUCGUGUGCCAAUGAGCUUCCUGUCUUGGCAUUGAAAGGGGGAGUAAGUAGGUACCAGUGCUGACCUGCAAGAUUCUCUCUCCUUCCCCUCCUUCAGAUCAAAACAGCUUCUGCUUGUCUUGGUUGUGGAAGGUUUAAGAUAAAGGACAUCAACAAAGAAGCUGGAGUAACUUUUUGCCCUUUGGGGUACAUUAUCCAGGUGCUGGAGUUCACCUUGGUUUUGGGAACAAGGAUGACAUGACAUGUGAGAUGGUCCUUUUGGACUUCCCCUUCCUCUCCCUGCAGUAAAAUAGCAUAGCCUACAGUUGAAAGAGUGUGACGAUUGCUUCCAUCAAAUGUUUAUUUGAUUACCUACCAUGAGACAGUACUUUGCUAGGUGCAACUAGAAAGAUACACAGAAGUAGGUUAGGCAAAGAAGGGAAAGAAAGAGCAGUCAAGGCAAAAGGGCUAGCAUGUGCAAAGGCCCUGUGACACGAGAGAGCAGGGUGACUGCAAGAAGGUCAAUUACAGUCCAAAGGCCGACAGGAAUACAGAAGAGGAUCAAGGCCCAGGAGGAGGAGGCGGAUUCUCCUGGGCUGUGUAGAUUGUGUUGUUGAGGUUUUCUUUAUCCUAGGAGCAAAGGAAAAUGUUCAUGCUAACUAUUAAGUCCUGUUCUACACUGUCCCAUAUUUGGGUUACAUUUGAACCUCCCUUCACUCACCAGCUCCAGCAUCUACAAAAACCUAUAUGCUUGGCACUUUCCAUCCAUUCAUGCAAAGAUUUUAAAAGAUUGAUUUAUUGACGUGUCUGGCACCACACUAAGCACUAGCAAUAUAGUGAUGAGCAAGACAGACGGGGCCCCAUUCCCACUCCCACUCCAGUGACGAGACAGAGAAGUGAAUAAGCCGUUCCAGUAAAGUGUGAUCAGUGCUUUGCACAGGAAAGUUGAGGGUGCCCUGGAUUUGCAUUUUCCCCCUGUGUAUUUCGCCCUGACCUUUCAAAAUCUGCAUGUCUUUGGACCUGCUGGCUACUAGUCAUGCCCUUGUUCUAUUCUCUCUCCCAAACCACUGCUUUUAUUGCCCAUUAAAUUAAUAGACAGGAGGCGCCAAAUGAAUCUUUCAAGAUUUAUUCAGUGGAACUGGCAGUGUCUUGCCAAAUGCUUCUCUCAGCGUCUAAUCUUGGCUGACCUACUUUCUCUGCCUGGGAUGAGCAGAGGCAGUGACCAAUAUCAGCUCUGAUAUCUAGGUCAUUAAACAGCAACCGCCAUGCAGGCUUCUCUCUGCCCGGGCCGGUCUUUCCUGGAGGUGCAGAGUUCCUCGUACCGCCUUCCGAUGGCAUCAGGUGACCUGUGCGCUCCAGCCUGGGGUAGCAGGGACACUUGGCCAUAGCUUAGGCUUCCUGAUCCUAGGGGUGAGUAGGGACAGGAUCAGGAGGCAGGGGCUGUGUUUUGCAGAUGGCCUUUUCAGAGAAGCUGCCCUUCCAGUUACUGUAAAAGAAGUGGGUGGAGGGAACAGUUUCCAGGUCCUCUUUCUGCCUCUCUCCACUGACAGCUGAAACCCAGAAUAAAGCCAGUGUCCUAAUGAGUAAGAAAACAAAACAUUAUAUAACUGUGCACACGAUCUUCCUGGAUUAGGUUGGUCAAGAGCAUGGGUUCUGGAAUCUCAGCUAUGCCUUUGAGCUGUGUGUCUUUGGGGCAGUUAGUUGGCCUCUCUGAGCCUGUAAAGCGGGGGUAUUACAUUCUAGUCUUGAGAUAUCUUAUGGAUAAGUAAACUAGCAUAGUGCUGGAUAAUGUUGUAACCAUUGAUGUGAUCACAAUUACGAUGUGAUUUUAAGAUCUCAGCUGCCUUUUCUGGAUUGGAGGAUGGAAAGGCACAUUUGCGUAUUUUCAGUUGAGUUUUCUCACCUGGUCCUACAUUUACUAUAGUAACACCUUGUAGAUCAAAUGUAGAUCAAAUGUAAGCAAUGCGCUCUCUUCCCUCCCCACACUUAAUGCU